UGAGACGGUUUUACCCUACUAAUGACAAAACGUUGUUGCGACAGAAUUCCUGCGUAGUACGAGAGGAACCGCAGGUACGGACCAAUGGCACAAUACUUGUUCGAGCGAACAGUGGUAUGACGCUACGUCCGUUGGACUAUGCCUGAACGCCUCUAAGGUCGUAUCCGUGCUGGACUGCAAUGAUAAAUAAGGGGCAAUUUGCAUUGUAUGGCUUCUAAACCAUUAAAAGUUUUUAAUUUGUUUUAUUUACGACAAUGGAUGUGAUGCCAAUGUUAUUUAUAACAUAGUAAAUUGGGAGGAUCUUCGAUCACCUGAUGCGGCGCUAGUUAUAUUUUAAAACAUUAUUUAAUACAAUGUCAAAGCCUAGAAUCAAUUGUAAACGACUUUUGUGACAGGCAAGGUGUUGUUAGUGGUUGAGCAGCUGCCAUACUGCGAUCCACUGAAGCUUAUCCUUUGCUUGAUGAUUCGA
rnacentral:ncRNA from 1 species